rnacentral:rRNA from 1 species
CGCCCUACGGGGGAAAAAUUUAUUGCUAUUAGAUGAGCCUAUAUUAGAUUAGCUAGUUGGUGGGGUAAUAGCCUACCAAGGUAAUGAUCUAUAGCUGAUCUGAGAGGAUGAUCAGCCACACUGGAACUGAGAUACGGUCCAGACUCCUACGGGAGGCAGCAGUGGGGAAUAUUGGACAAUGGGCGAAAGCCUGAUCCAGCCAUGCCGCAUGAGUGAAGAAGGCCUUUGGGUUGUAAAGCUCUUUUAGUGAGGAAGAUAAUGACGGUACUCACAGAAGAAGUCCUGGCUAACUCCGUGCCAGCAGCCGCGGUAAUACGGAGAGGGCUAGCGUUAUUCGGAAUUAUUGGGCGUAAAGGGCGCGUAGGCUGGUUAAUAAGUUAAAAGUGAAAUCCCGAGGCUUAACCUUGGAAUUGCUUUUAAAACUAUUAAUCUAGAGAUUGAAAGAGGAUAGAGGAAUUCCUGAUGUAGAGGUAAAAUUCGUAAAUAUUAGGAGGAACACCAGUGGCGAAGGCGUCUAUCUGGUUCAAAUCUGACGCUGAAGCGCGAAGGCGUGGGGAGCAAACAGGAUUAGAUACCCUGGUAGUCCACGCUGUAAACGAUGAAUGUUAAAUAUGGGGAGUUUACUUUCUGUAUUACAGCUAACGCGUUAAACAUUCCGCCUGGGGACUACGGUCGC